GGCUCCAUAGUGUAGUGGUUAGCACGUUUGCUUUGCACGCUAGGUCCUGGGUUCGCUCCCCAGAUGGAGGCA
rnacentral:tRNA from 1 species